UGGGGAAUAUUGCACAAUGGGCGCAAGCCUGAUGCAGCCAUGCCGCGUGUGUGAAGAAGGCCUUCGGGUUGUAAAGCACUUUCAGCGGGGAGGAAGGCGUUAAGGUUAAUAACCUUGGCGAUUGACGUUACCCGCAGAAGAAGCACCGGCUAACUCCGUGCCAGCAGCCGCGGUAAUACGGAGGGUGCAAGCGUUAAUCGGAAUUACUGGGCGUAAAGCGCACGCAGGCGGUCUGUCAAGUCGGAUGUGAAAUCCCCGGGCUCAACCUGGGAACUGCAUUCGAAACUGGCAGGCUAGAGUCUUGUAGAGAGGGGUAGAAUUCCAGGUGUAGCGGGGAAAUGCGUAGAGAGCUGGAGGAAUACCGGUGGCGAAGGCGGCCCCCUGGACAAAGACUGACGCUCAGGUGCGAAAGCGUGGGGAGCAAACAGG
rnacentral:rRNA from 1 species